CGGGGUUUAAUCAUAAAUAAUCCAAACACAAGUAUAUAAAUAGCACAAUAAUUGUGUAUGUUUUCCUUAACUUUAUUUAUUUUAAUAUAUUUGGAAGUCAUUUGACCAAGGUAAUAUUAGUUGCUUCUUUCUCUUAUCUGUUUCUCAUCUCUGAUCUCCGGUGAUCGUCGAGAUACCCAUUCUCAUAUUCUCUCAUGGUAUCAGAGCUUUCAAGCUCCACUUGUUGAGUUCAAUCAAUCUCUGUCAUGACGUCUUAAUUCCACUCCUAAUCUUCCUCAAGGUAAAGUUGUGGAUCGGAAAAUAUCUGAUAUUCUUAAAGCUUUCACCAAGACGAAGGAUGGGGUCUGGUUGAGUUUUGACAACCACUUUUGGUACAGGUUUUGCCGUUGACCUCUCUUGGAUGUUCAGGUUGGUUUACUUGGUUUGAACUUGCAGAACUGUUGAUUUUUGUUUUCCAAAGGCAGAUUGUUCCUAAACAAACAUAAUAUAUCAUCAAAUGUGGACUACAUUCUAAAUAACAUCGGAGCAGCAUAUUUUAAAAAGGCAGCUAAGCUUAGAUGAUAGUUUAAAUUUCUUCUCACCUUUAUAAUAUGAUUUCCUCAAUAAUCAGUAUAACUUUUUAAUUAUUGUGAGUAAUUGGGUUAUAAUUUACCAAUAAAUCAAUAAUUCAG
rnacentral:lncRNA from 1 species